UUAACACAAUUUUGUAUGGAGUUGGAACGUUCGUCUACGUUUGCCGCUAGAGGACGCUGUUCCAACUGCAUACAAAUUUAAGUUA
rfam:Bombyx mori DNA, contig: Bm_scaf116_contig37935, strain: p50T/Dazao, build 2, whole genome shotgun sequence.